rnacentral:tRNA from 1 species
GCCCUGCUAGCUCAAUCGGUAGAGCGUGAGACUUUUACGAGCCUCGGCAAGUUGCUCAGGAAGGAUAUUUGAACCUUAAAUCUCAAGGCUGCGGGUUCGAGCCCCGCGUGGGGCU